rnacentral:rRNA from 1 species
UACGAGUGCCCCAAGCGUUAUCCGGAAUCAUUGGGCGUAAAGGGUGUGUAGGUGGCGAUGUUAGUCUUCUGUUAAAUCCCCGGGCUUAACCCGGGAUCUGCAGGGGAAACGGCAUUGCUCGAGGAUGCGAGGGGUGAAUGGAACUCAUGGAGUAGGGGUGAAAUCCGUUGAUAUCAUGGGGAACACCAAAAGCGAAGGCAAUUCACUGGCGCAUUCCUGACACUGAAACACGAAAGCGUGGGUAGCGAACGGG